UGCAUUGUUUCACACGUACUCAGGUCACUUUCAGCAAACAUAAGAUGACAUCCCAGAAAGAUCUAAAAACCUAACAGGAAGACAGAAAAGUACAGUGGUGCUAAUUCGGUGCUAAUACAAUGUAGAUGUUCUGAGGCAGUGCUGGUUCCCAUGUACUGCUGGAUCAACUCAAAUUCCAGCAGCAGUUCAGCUGACAGAAGCUUUCAUGCAUAAUGAAAGUUACAAAUGGAUCAGUUCUGCGGAUGACAAAAACUGUGUUUGGACGCUGCAGGAGUGUUGGACACAGAUGAUUAACUAUCCUAAUUGA
rnacentral:lncRNA from 1 species